GGGUGACUAGUGACAUAGUGAGAGAGGGGGUGACUAGUGACAUAGUGAGAGAGGGGGUAACUAGUGACAGAGUGAGGGACGGGGUGACACAGUGACAGAGUUAGGGAGGGAGUGACUAGUGACAGAGAGAGGGAUGGGGUGACUAGUGACAGUCACCCCCUCUCUCACUCUGUCACUAGUCACCCCCUCUCUCACUCUGUCACUAGUCACACCCUCUCUCACUCUGUCACUAGUCACACCCUCUCUCACUCUGUCACCAGUCAUCCCUUCCUUCCCUCACUCUGCCACUAGUGAUCCCUUCCCUCACUCUGUCAC